UACGAAGGGGGCUAGCGUUGCUCGGAAUUACUGGGCGUAAAGCGCACGUAGGCGGCUUUCUAAGUCGGAGGUGAAAUCCUGGAGCUCAACUCCAGAACUGCCUUCGAUACUGGAGAGCUUGAGUCCGGGAGAGGUGAGUGGAACUGCGAGUGUAGAGGUAAAAUUCGUAGAUAUUCGCAAGAACACCAGUGGCGAAGGCGGCUCACUGGCCCGGUACUGACGCUGAGACGCGAAAGCGUGGGGAGCAAACAGG
rnacentral:rRNA from 1 species